AACAAAGAAGUAAUGUAUUUACAUUUAGUUUCGACCUAAAAAUAAGGAUAUAAUCCUCAUGUUU
rnacentral:tRNA from 1 species